rnacentral:rRNA from 1 species
UGAACCUGCGGAGGGAUCAUUACACAAAUAUGAAGGCGGGCUGGAACCUCUCGGGGUUACAGCCUUGCUGAAUUAUUCACUCUUGUCUUUUGCGUACUUCUUGUUUCCUUGGUGGGUUCGCCCACCACUAGGACAAACAUAAACCUUUUGUAAUUGCAAUCAGCGUCAGUAACAAAUUAAUAAUUACAACUUUCAACAACGGAUCUCUUGGUUCUGGCAUCGAUGAAGAACGCAGCGAAAUGCGAUAAGUAGUGUGAAUUGCAGAAUUCAGUGAAUCAUCGAAUCUUUGAACGCACAUUGCGCCCUUUGGUAUUCCAAAGGGCAUGCCUGUUCGAGCGUCAUUUGUACCCUCAAGCUUUGCUUGGUGUUGGGCGUCUUGUCUCUAGCUUUGCUGGAGACUCGCCUUAAAGUAAUUGGCAGCCGGCCUACUGGUUUCGGAGCGCAGCACAAGUCGCACUCUCUAUCAGCAAAGGUCUAGCAUCCAUUAAGCCUUUUUUUUCAACUUUUGACCUCGGAUCAGGUAGGGAUACCCGCUGAACUUAAGCAUAUC